UACAGAGGGUGCAAGCGUUGCUCGGAUUUACUGGGCGUAAAGCGUACGCAGACGGUAAGGAAGGUCGAAUGUGAAAGCCCCGGGCUCAACCCGGGAAAUGCAUCCGAAACCCCCUUGCUAGAGUAUGAGAGAGGGAAGCGGAAUUCCUGGUGUAGAGGUGAAAUUCGUAGAUAUCAGGAGGAACAUCGGCGGCGAAGGCGGCUUCCUGGC
rnacentral:rRNA from 1 species